CUGGGCGCGGUGGCAGAUGCCUGUAGUCCCAGCUACUCGGGAGGCUAAGGCAGGAGAAUCGCUUGAACCUGAGAGGCGGAGAAAGAACACAACCUGAUUAGCACCUGGAAUUUGCAAAUUACACCUACAAUGAUAUUUCAUUUUCUACCCAUUAAAUUGACAAAUAUUUGAAGUCUGACAACACAAGGUGUUCCUAAGAACACAGCACAAUGAGGAGGCUCCACCAUGCCAGGGGAAGGUUCGG
rnacentral:lncRNA from 1 species